CUCAACUGAUUGUGUACAAAAAUUUGCAGGAAAGGAGCCGAUCGUUCGUAACUUUAGUGAAUGUUCCCCAGAGGCAGAUGAUUCUCAUAAGUCUAUAAGAGAGGUAGAGCUGGUACACCAAAGAAGCUAGCAGUUCCUAACUCUUCAAUGAAACAGGCAUCCAGAAGUGUGUGCUCAACAACCGGGAUCACUAGAUUGUGGCUACUACGUCAUGCGUUUUAUGUACGACAUAAUAAUGAAUCAUGGUAAUAGUCAAGAUCUUACUAAGGAUUUUUCAAGAACAUUGCCUUAUUCACCGGAGGAGAUUAAUGAGGUGAAAGAUUUUUGGGCAGAUUACUUCAUGAACAAUGUCGAAUUUUUAGCUUAAUUUGUAAUAUGAACUCGAUCUCUAGCUAGCUACGUACCUUUUGUAAUAAUUUUAUGUUUGUUGUAACAUGUUGGUUGAUCUAUGACGAAUUUAAUUGCCUUUUAUUGGGAACGUUAA